UUGGCUGGUCAACUUGAACAUUG
rnacentral:piRNA from 1 species